GAUGAACGCUGGCGGCGUGCCUAAUACAUGCAAGUCGAGCGAACAGACGAGGAGCUUGCUCCUCUGACGUUAGCGGCGGACGGGUGAGUAACACGUGGAUAACCUACCUAUAAGACUGGGAUAACUUCGGGAAACCGGAGCUAAUACCGGAUAAUAUAUUGAACCGCAUGGUUCAAUAGUGAAAGACGGUUUUGCUGUCACUUAUAGAUGGAUCCGCGCCGCAUUAGCUAGUUGGUAAGGUAACGGCUUACCAAGGCGACGAUGCGUAGCCGACCUGCGAGGGUGAUCGGCCACACUGGAACUGAGACACGGUCCAGACUCCUACGGGAGGCAGCAGUAGGGAAUCUUCCGCAAUGGGCGAAAGCCUGACGGAGCAACGCCGCGUGAGUGAUGAAGGUCUUCGGAUCGUAAAACUCUGUUAUUAGGGAAGAACAAAUGUGGAAGUAACUAUGCACGUCUUGACGGUACCUAAUCAGAAAGCCACGGCUAACUACGUG
rnacentral:rRNA from 1 species